GACGAACGCUGGCGGCGUGCUUAACACAUGCAAGUCGAACGCUGAAGCUCAGCUUUUGUUGGGUGGAUGAGUGGCGAACGGGUGAGUAACACGUGAGUAACCUGCCCCCUUCUUGGGGAUAACGCCCGGAAACGGGUGCUAAUACUGGAUAUUCACUGGUCUUCGCAUGGGGGUUGGUGGAAAGGGUUUUUCUGGUGGGGGAUGGGCUCGCGGCCUAUCAGCUUGUUGGUGGGGUGAUGGCCUACCAAGGCUUUGACGGGUAGCCGGCCUGAGAGGGUGACCGGUCACAUUGGGACUGAGAUACGGCCCAGACUCCUACGGGAGGCAGCAGUGGGGAAUAUUGCACAAUGGGCGCAAGCCUGAUGCAGCGACGCCGCGUGAGGGAUGGAGGCCUUCGGGUUGUGAACCUCUUUCGCUCAUGGUCAAGCCGCAACAAUGGUUGUGGUGAGGGUAGUGGGUAAAGAAGCGCCGGCUAACUACGUG
rnacentral:rRNA from 1 species